rnacentral:rRNA from 1 species
UACGGAGGGUGCAAGCGUUAUCCGGAUUUAUUGGGUUUAAAGCGCACGUAGGCGGCCUGAUAAGUCGGGUGUGAAAGCCCUGGGCUCAACCCAGGAAGUGCACUCGAAACUGUCAGGCUUGAAUAUGGAAGAGGGUCGCGGAAUUCCCGGUGUAGAGGUGAAAUUCGUAGAUAUCGGGAGGAACACCAGUGGCGAAGGCGGCGAUCGUGGGAAGAUACUGACGCUGAGGUGCAAAAGCGUGGGGAGCAAACAGG